rnacentral:rRNA from 1 species
UUGUCUCAAAGAUUAAGCCAUGCAUGUCUAAGUACAGACCGAUAUACAAGGUGAAACCGCGAAUGGCUCAUUAAAUCAGUUAUGGUUCAUUGGAUCUUACACGAGUUACUUGGAUAACCGUGGUAAUUCUAGAGCUAAUACAUGCAACUAAGCUCCGACCGCAAGGGAAGAGCGCAGUUAUUAGAUCAAAACCAAUCAGGUUCCUAGUCACCUGAUGAAGUUGUGAUGACUCUGAAUAACAUUGAGCUGAGCGCAUGGUCUUUGGACCGGCGCCGCAUCUUUCAAGUGUCUGCCUUAUCAGCUUGAUUGUAGGUUAUGUGCCUACAAUGGCUAUAACGGGUAACGGGGAAUCAGGGUUCGAUUCCGGAGAGGGAGCCUGAGAAACGGCUACCACAUCUAAGGAAGGCAGCAGGCACGCAAAUUACCCACUCCCAGUUCGGGGAGGUAGUGACGAAAUAUAACGAUGCGUGUCUCUAAUUGAGGCUUCGCAAUCGGAAUGAGUACACUCUAAAUCCUUGUACGAGGAUCAAUUGGAGGGCAAGUCUGGUGCCAGCAGCCGCGGUAAUUCCAGCUCCAAUAGCAUAUAUUAAAGUUGUUGUGGUUAAAAAGCUCGUAGUUGGAUGUCUAAUAUUGACUGAUGGUGCGCCUCUGGCGAUUACUGUCGGUUGAAAUAACUAGUCAGCUUGCAUGCGAUGCUCUUUAUUGAGUGUCGUGCGUGGCUGGCAUGAUUACUUUGAAAAAAUUAGAGUGCUCAAAGCAGGUUAAUGCCUGAAUAUGAUGCAUGGAAUAAUGGAAUAUGAUCUCGGUUCUAUUUCGUUGGUUUACUGAACCUGAGUUAAUGAUUAAAAGAGACGGACGGGGGCAUUCGUAUUGCGACGCUAGAGGUGAAAUUCUAUGACCGUCGCAAGAC